rnacentral:lncRNA from 1 species
UUUUGUAAUGCUGAGAGUGAUUAUCUAAAUAGAAUAAGGCUGAAGGAUGGGUCCAUUGGUUUAAUAUAAUAACUACUUGAACUUUAAUACGCAGUAAAAGAACUGUCAGGUCGAUUUUAAAAGAGAUUAGAUAAUCACAAAUUUCACAAUACAUGAGGAAAAUCAACAUUCAGGACUAGCUGUUGUAAAUAGUUAUCAAAGGUACCAG